AACGCUGGCGGCAGGCUUAACACAUGCAAGUCGAGCGGGCGUAGCAAUACGUCAGCGGCAGACGGGUGAGUAACGCGUGGGAACGUACCUUUUGGUUCGGGACAACCCAGGGAAACUUGGGCUAAUACCGGAUAAGCCCUCACGGGGAAAGAUUUAUCGCCGAAAGAUCGGCCCGCGUCUGAUUAGCUAGUUGGUGAGGUAAUGGCCCACCAAGGCGACGAUCAGUAGCUGGUCUGAGAGGAUGAUCAGCCACAUUGGGACUGAGACACGGCCCAAACUCCUACGGGAGGCAGCAGUGGGGAAUAUUGGACAAUGGGCGCAAGCCUGAUCCAGCCAUGCCGCGUGAGUGAUGAAGGCCCUAGGGUUGUAAAGCUCUUUUGUGCGGGAAGAUAAUGACGGUACCGCAAGAAUAAGCCCCGGCUAACUUCGUGCCAGCAGCCGCGGUAAUACGAAGGGGGCUAGCGUUGCUCGGAAUCACUGGGCGUAAAGGGUGCGUANGCGGGUCUUUAAGUCAGGGGUGAAAUCCUGGAGCUCAACUCCAGAACUGCCUUUGAUACUGAA
rnacentral:rRNA from 1 species